rnacentral:rRNA from 1 species
GACGAACCGUGCUAACGUUGUUCGGAAUCACUGGGCUUAAAGGGCGCGUAGGCGGCCCACCAAGUCAGGGGUGAAAUCUUUCGGCUUAACCGGAAAAGUGCCUUUGAUACUGGUGGGCUCGAGCGAGGUAGGGGCAGAUGGAACUUCGGGUGGAGCGGUGAAAUGUGUAGAUAUCCGAAGGAACGCCGGUGGCGAAAGCGAUCUGCUGGACCUCUUCUGACGCUGAGGAGCGAAAGCCAGGGGAGCAAACGGG